CAGCCAUCAUUUAAAGAAAGCGUAAUAGCUCACUGGUCGAGUCGGCCUGCGCGGAAGAUGUAACGGGGCUAAACCAUGCACCGAAGCUGCGGCAGCGACGCUUAUGCGUUGUUGGGUAGGGGAGCGUUCUGUAAGCCUGUGAAGGUGUGCUGUGAGGCAUGCUGGAGGUAUCAGAAGUGCGAAUGCUGACAUAAGUAACGAUAAAGCGGGUGAAAAGCCCGCUCGCCGGAAGACCAAGG
rnacentral:rRNA from 1 species